rnacentral:rRNA from 1 species
GACGAACGCUGGCGGCGUGCUUAACACAUGCAAGUCGAACGAUGAAGCAAAGAAUCGAAGCUUCGGCAGAAAUUCAUUUCGGAUUAGUGGCAGACGGGUGAGUAACGCGUGAGCAACCUACCUCUUACAAAGGGAUAGCCUCGGGAAACCGGGAUUAAUACCAUAUAACAUUGCGACGAAGCAUUUCGAUGCAAUCAAAGCUAUGGCGGUAAGAGAUGGGCUCGCGUCCCAUUAACCGGAUGGUGAGGUAACGGCUCACCAUAGUGACGAUGGGUAACCGGCCUGAGAGGGUGAACGGUCACACUGGAACUGAGACACGGUCCAGACUCCUACGGGAGGCAGCAGUGGGGAAUAUUGCACAAUGGAGGGAACUCUGAUGCAGCGACGCCGCGUGAGUGAUGAAGGAAUUCGUUUCGUAAAACUCUGUUCUAUGGGAAGAAAAGGACUGUACCAUAGGAGAAAGCUCCGGCUAAAUACGUG